UAGCCGUAAACGAUACUCGCUAGGUGUUGGCCACGGUGCGACCGUUGUCGGUGCCGUAGGGAAGCCGUGAAGCGAGCCACCUGGGAAGUACGGCCGCAAGGCUGAAACUUAAAGGAAUUGGCGAGGGAGCACCACAACGGGUGGAGCCUGCGGUUUAAUUGGACUCAACGCCGGGAACCUCACCGGAUAAGACAGCUGAAUGAUAGUCGGGAUGAAGACUCUACUUGACUAGCUGAGAGGAGGUGCAUGGCGUAGUCGUGU
rnacentral:rRNA from 1 species